rnacentral:rRNA from 1 species
CCUACGGGGGGCAGCAGUGGGGAAUAUUGCACAAUGGGGGAAACCCUGAUGCAGCGACGCCGCGUGAGUGAAGAAGUAUUUCGGUACGUAAAGCUCUAUCAGCAGGGAAGAAAAUGACGGUACCUGACUAAGAAGCCCCGGCUAACUACGUGCCAGCAGCCGCGGUAAUACGUAGGGGGCAAGCGUUAUCCGGAUUUACUGGGUGUAAAGGGAGCGUAGACGGCAGCGCAAGUCUGGAGUGAAAUCCCAUGGCUUAACCAUGGAACUGCUUUGGAAACUGUGCAGCUAGAGUGCAGGAGAGGUAAGCGGAAUUCGUAGUGUAGCGGUGAAAUGCGUAGAUAUUAGGAGGAACACCAGUGGCGAAGGCGGCUUACUGGACUGUAACUGACGUUGAGGCUCGAAAGCGUGGGGAGCAAACAGGAUUAGAUACCCCGAGUAGUC